GCUAAGCUGGCCAAACAUACACCCCUCAGACACCAUUAAUACCGACUCUGACUACAAAAGCUAACAGAGCUGUCGGAUUUGUAUCACCAAAAUAUUCCGUUUUGUACGAGAAAAUGGGCAGCGGUGAAGUUUGUGAGAUUUGGCCGUCCAUCAUGGCGGACAGGAAAUAACAGAACAAGCUUAAGCUAAGAGCAGGAACAUUCCACAGGAGCCGGUUCAUGUUGCUGUGGCAGCAACGGGGUAGAGCUAACAUGCUAUUCUUGGUCUCUGAUGGACGCAUCCCCCUUAAAACGGCCCAAACUGAGAGAUGGAGCAGCCAGUGCUGUGGAUGGUGAGUCAGGGAACGAAGAGAUCAGCCCAUCUUCCCCUGACAAGACACAACACCCAUCUUUAACAUAACCUCAUCAAACCUCAGGCAGCCGUGCCAACUUACAAGGGCGAGUGCAGAUUAAGAGGCAUGUGUCAACAAUGUACUGUUGUACUCUUUUACAAGGGCUUGAAUGGAGGCCCAAGGAGGUCCCAGACAUUUCCAUUACACUGUUAAAUGCGCCUGCAGCGAUUGUAGUAUAUAGUUUGGGAACCCCCUAAAUGAACAGCAUAUCUAAUCAAAACAAACUAAGAAAGUUUGGAAGCCUUGUAAAGGCUUUUGUUGUGUUGAAAUGAAUGUACUUACUAAAAGGAACGAUUGUGAUGUUAAUUUUGUUUUUUAAAGCUUCGGGAAUGCUUAUAAGCGUGGCUGACAUCUUGUAAAUGCAUUUUUUCCCUAGCCCAGAUUGACUUGCAAUUAGUUGUGAGCAGGGUUAUUAUAGUUUAGAAUUUUUAAUUUAGUUUUUAUUUUAUUAUUCAUUUUAGUUUUAGUUUUUUUCUGAGUUUUCUAGUUUAGAUGUUACUUUAUUUUUUAUUUAUGAGUCAACAUCUGUUAAGGCCUAAUUAAAUGUAACAAAUCAUGUAAAAAUGAAACUAUUUUAUCAAACUUUGAUAAUUGCCUUAAUCUUUUAAACAACUAAGAAGAUAGUGAUCAAACUACAUUUUAUAAAAAUCACUUAAGUUUAUAAUACAUAUUACACCAGCAUGCACAUUGGAUGACUAUAGGGACUCAUCUUAAGAUCACCUAUUUAUCAGUUCAUCUAUUGCCAAAAGUCUGAAAAAAAAAAGACAGUCAGUAAUAGUUGGUGCAAAAAAUGCCUGUCAAAACCAACACAUGUUGAACGAUGUUCACUAGCCUGGCAAAGCUUUUCAAUUAGAUUGGCGUUUAUUCUCUUUAGCGUGCAGUGUGAAGUAUUUCACUGAGUUAAUUCCAACUCAAUUCAACAGAUUUAUACUCACGUGCGUUAUGUAUUAUGCAUGUUAUCAUCUCUGACAGAUGGCAUGUUGAUGCCGCCAUUUUCUCCCUCUUCUCAGAAAGCGAUGACUCAUUCAAAACAUCCGGUACUGUGGACUCCCUGGACCUCUGCUUCACAUCUGGAAAACACCCCACGCCCAUGAGGGACAUCGUCAACACAUCUAUCGGUCAAAAACAUGUUAUACAGUAGUUAAAUGGCCUGACUAACCACUCUCAGCAACUAAGGGGUUGUAAAUAUGUAUAUAGCCUCAGGUGCUUUUUGUCUGUUUUUCUUUACAAUUUAAUGAUGCAGAUUAAGGUGCAAUAAGAUUAGUCUUGAUGAAUGUUUGAAUAGACUUGAUCCAGGUAAUUGUGCUGCUAAAAACUUGGUUGAAAAAUGACUUUGUCACUGUAGUUUUGGUCUAAUGUGAGCUAAUCGAUUGUAUUGUGUGUAAAAUGACAGUUGAACCUCUAAACCUAGAUGGCUGAAGUCAUAACUAGGCAGUAAAAGCUGGACAGGAAGGAAGCAAUGUCCGAAAUGGCGCCUCAUUUCUUGUUUAAAGGUUAUUGCACCACCACCCACUGCUGAUAUGAUCUUAGCUGUUAGAUUCUUGAGCCACUGGUUUGACUGGAGGCUUGUUACCUGUAAAAUAGUCACAGCCCAAGAGAAGAUGGUACGCUUUUGCCAUUAUGACCUGAUGGCAGGUCUGUCAAGUGGCUUCCUGAGUUUAUUGUGGCUUUUUACUAUUCAGUUCAUUAUUAUUGAACCUGUAGAGUGAUUUGUGCAAUAUUCCAAUCCUCACUAAGCGAGACUGUAAAUUGAAAUUUCAAUGCAUCUAAAAAGAAAAAGUAGGUAGGGCUCAAAAAGUCGGUUUUCUGGAGUUAAGAUUUUUGUAUUUGUCCUGCCAACAUUUUUACUGGC